rnacentral:rRNA from 1 species
AACAAACGCUGGCGGCGUGCCUAAUACAUGCAAGUCGAACGGGGAAAGCUUUCGGGUGAGUACUAGUGGCGCACGGGUGAGGAACGCGUGGCUAAUCUGCCUUAGAGUGGGGGAUAACUAGUCGAAAGAUUAGCUAAUACCGCAUAAGACCACGAGAGCUGCGGCUUUUGAGGUCAAAGGUUUUUCGCUCUAAGAUGAGUCCGCGUAAGAUUAGCUAGUUGGUGAGGUAACGGCUCACCAAGGCGACGAUCUUUAACUGGUCUGAGAGGAUGAUCAGUCACACUGGAACUGAGACACGGUCCAGACUCCUACGGGAGGCAGCAGUAGGGAAUAUUGCACAAGGGAGGAAACUCUGAUGCAGCGACGCCGCGUGAGUGAUGAAGGCCUUCGGGGCGUAAAGCUCUGUCGCAGGGGAAUAACACAAUGAAGGUACCCUGUAAGAAAGGAUCGGCUAACUUCGUG